UACGAAGGGGGCUAGCGUUGCUCGGAAUUACUGGGCGUAAAGGGAGCGUAGGCGGAUAGUUUAGUCAGAGGUGAAAGCCCAGGGCUCAACCUUGGAAUUGCCUUUGAUACUGGCUAUCUUGAGUAUGGGAGAGGUGUGUGGAACUCCGAGUGUAGAGGUGAAAUUCGUAGAUAUUCGGAAGAACACCAGUGGCGAAGGCGACACACUGGCCCAUUACUGACGCUGAGGCUCGAAAGCGUGGGGAGCAAACAGG
rnacentral:rRNA from 2 species